CCUACGGGAGGCAGCAGUGGGGGAUAUUGGACAAUGGGGGGAACCCUGAUCCAGCGACGCCGCGUGAGUGAAGAAGUAUUUCGGUAUGUAAAGCUCUGUCAGCAGGGAAGAAAGAAAUGACGGUACCUGACCAAGAAGCCCCGGCUAACUACGUGCCAGCAGCCGCGGGAAUACGUAGGGGGCAAGCGUUAUCCGGAAUUACUGGGUGUAAAGGGAGCGUAGACGGUUAAGUAAGUCUGGAGUGAAAGGCCGGGGCCCAACCCCGGGACUGCUCUGGAAACUAUUGAACUUGAGUGCAGGAGAGGUAAGCGGAAUUCGUAGUGUAGCGGUGAAAUGCGUAGAUAUUAGGAAGAACACCAGUGGCGAAGGCGGCUUACUGGACUGUAACUGACGUUGAGGCUCGAAAGCGUGGGGAGCAAACAGGAUUAGAUACCCCAGUAGUC
rnacentral:rRNA from 1 species